rnacentral:rRNA from 1 species
GAUGAACGCUGACAGAAUGCUUAAUACAUGCAAGUCGAUGGGGAAGUGGUGCUUGCACCAUGGCAACCAUGGCGGACGGGUGAGUAACGCGUAAGGGACUUACCUGCAGGACUGGGAUAACAGGGGGAAACUCCUGACAAGACCGGAUAAUGUCAUGGAGCUGCAUGGCUUUAUGAUGAAAGGAGACGCCUGCGGAGAGCCUUGCGUCCUAUUAGCUAGUUGGUGAGGUAAUGGCUCACCAAGGCGAAGAUAGGUAGCCGGCCUGAGAGGGUGGACGGCCACAAGGGGACUGAGAUACGGCCCUUACUCCUACGGGAGGCAGCAGUGGGGAAUAUUGGACAAUGGGGGCAACCCUGAUCCAGCAAUUCUGUGUGCACGAAGAAGGUUUUCGGAUUGUAAAGUGCUUUCAGCAGGGAAGAAGUAAGUGACGGUACCUGCAGAAGAAGCGACGGCUAAAUACGUG